rfam:Ovis aries breed Texel chromosome 3, whole genome shotgun sequence.
UGUCUGAUGGUAAAGAAUCUGCCUGCAAUGCAGGAGACCCAGGUUCAAUCCCUGG